GGGUUCGAUUCCGGAGAGGGAGCCUGAGAAACGGCUACCACAUCCAAGGAAGGCAGCAGGCGCGCAAAUUACCCAAUCCCAAUACGGGGAGGUAGUGACAAUAAAUAACAAUAUGGGGCUCUUACGGGUCUCGUAAUUGGAAUGAGUACAAUUUAAAUCUCUUAACGAGGAACAAUUGGAGGGCAAGUCUGGUGCCAGCAGCCGCGGUAAUUCCAGCUCCAAUAGCGUAUAUUAAAGUUGUUGCAGUUAAAAAGCUCGUAGUUGAAUUUCGGAGUUUGUCGGUUGGUCGGGCUUCACUGUCCGCACUGGCCUGAUGGAUUCCUACCUUCUGAAUAACCAGCAUGCUAUUAAGUUAGUGCGUUGGGGAAGCAGAGCUAUUACCUUGAAAAAAUUAGAGUGCUUAAAGCAGGCUUUUGCUUGAAUAGAUUAGCAUGGAAUAAUAAAAUAGGACGGCAUGGUUCUAUUUUGUUGGUUUCUAGGGUCACCGUAAUGAUUAAUAGGGAUAGUUGGGGGCAUUAGUAUUCAAUUGUCAGAGGUGAAAUUCUUGGAUUUAUUGAAGACUAACUUCUGCGAAAGCAUUUGCCAAGGAUGUUUUCAUUAAUCAAGAACGAAAGUUAGGGGAUCGAAGACGAUCAGAUACCGUCGUAGUCUUAACCAUAAACUAUGCCGACUAGGGAUCGGACGAUGUUAAUUUUUUAAUGACUCGUUCGGCGCCUUACGGGAAA
rnacentral:rRNA from 1 species